AUAAUGGAGACGGAAAACUAAUAGCUUUUUUCCUUCUGCUGACGAGGCAACUCCAAUAUCACUGAAACAGGUCAUUGAUUAGAAAGUACAUGAAGGAACAAAAUCGAAUUUAGAACAUUUGCUUUGAUUCAGAAGUUUCAGAGAUUUUGUACCGAUGAUUAUUUUUCCAGUUUGCCGGCUGCUACGUGUAGAUUUCUGCUUUGCUUCCUUCAAUAUUCCACUGUUCACUCACACUGACUUUUUGACUGUCGUCUUUUCUGUUGUCGAUCGGUGCAGACGUUAAAAGGUGUCUGGUAGAUGUCUGUCCAGCUGAAGAUGAUGCAUUGGACAGGGUGGAGCCCGUUCCACAAAGCAAAUCUCUGACUCCACCCACUAACUCAGAUCCACCAGAUGAAACUACGGCGACUUCAAACCAGACCGAGCCAGAGUUGCAAAAGAAAGAUGUUGAGACUCCAGCUUUCCACCCUGUUACCCAACAACCUGGUCCACAAGUACCAGAGAUCCCUCCCACUGCCACAGACCAGGACAAUACAACGGCAGCAGAAGCGGGACAUGGAGGUGAGAGAAUGAAAUUUUUGGCAGAGCAACCUUCAGCAGGAACAAAACUUAUGUCCUCUUUAUGACCAAUUAAUUAUCUGAUGGAAAACUUUUAUGAGAUUCAGACGUUUUAUUUUAUUUAAUUGCAAAAUAAAUGUGCAACAAGGAUCUCUGAUUUGUUUUUCAUUUUUAUUAGAUGUGGAAGCUAAUUUUGUGAAUGGAUUUGUAGAUUUGAUCAAAGGUAACAGUUAAAACAUCAACAUUUCCAGUAAAACAUCUCAAUAAUUAAAUCAUAU